rnacentral:rRNA from 1 species
GAUGAAUGCUGGCGGCGUGCCUAACACAUGCAAGUCGAGCGGCAGCGCGGUCUUCGGACUGGCGGCGAGCGGCGGACGGCUGAGUAACGCGUGGGAACAUACCCCAAAGUGAGGGAUAACCGCCCGAAAGGGUGGCUAAUACCGCAUAUGAUCUUCGGAUUAAAGGAUUUAUCCGCUUUGGGAAUGGCCCGCGUACGAUUAGAUAGUUGGUGAGGUAAUGGCUCACCAAGUCGACGAUCGUUAACUGGUCUGAGAGGAUGAUCAGUCAGACUGGAACUGAGGCACGGUCCAGACUCCUACGGGAGGCAGCAGUGAGGAAUCUUCCACAAUGGGCGAAAGCCUGAUGGAGCAACGCCGCGUGCAGGAUGAAGGCCUUCGGGUCGUAAACUGCUUUUAUGAGUGAAGAAUAUGACGGUAACUCAUGAAUAAGCACCGGCUAACUACGUGCCAGCCGCCGCAGUAA